rnacentral:misc_RNA from 1 species
AAUUUAUAUUAGGUAAGAGCGUCAGAUGGAGUUCGUAGUCACGAAAACCCCAAUCUAUGGAUAAUUUCGUGAGGAGUUAUUCUGUAUUUUGAUCUGAGAUGAAGCGAGACAACCCCCUGAAUUUAA